UGCCAAUUUUUUUCUUCCAAAUUCUCCGCUUUUGCUUGGAUUUUUUGUAUGCUAAAAAAUUUCAAUUUCUUCGCAUAGGAAUCAAUCCUACCCCUCCCCUAACCCUAAAAUCGCCAAUUCACUCUCGACUGAAUCGACUAAUUCUUCUAUUCGUUUCUUCGCAUAGUAAUUAUUUCACCCAAAAACCUCCAAUUGAUCGCUUCUGUAUGCUUUUCUCCUUGAUAGUUUCCUGAUUUCUUAGUUCCCUGAUAUUGAUUUGAACCCUCUCAAUAAAACACAAUGGAUGACAUGAAAGACAAGUUCAAGGGUUUCAUGAAGAAAGUGAAUACACAAUUAUCAUCUUCUUCCUCCAGUAAAUUCAAGGGCCAAGGUCGAGUUUUGGGGAGUUCCUCCUCUUCUUCAUCAGGACCCACUAACCCCAUUCACGCCCGCUAUUGUCAACCCGUUAACCCAAAGUCAACUCCAAACCGUUCUUCACUCAAUUCUUCUUCAAAUUCUAAACCUUUACCUCAAAAAUCACCCAAUUCUGAUCAAAACAAACCUGCUUCUCUUAAUAACUCAAACCCAAAUCGCAAACCCACUGAUGGUUUCGAUCCAUUUGACUCACUGAUCACCACAGGGAAAAGAUCUCAAAAUGGCUAUUCAUUGAAUGUGUUUGAAUGCCCGAUUUGUGGGCAAUCAUAUAAAUCAGAAGAAGAGGUCUCUAUGCACGUAGAAAGCUGUGCCAAUAACAACAGCAAAUAUUCGGUUGACGAAGGAAAUGGGAUGGGAGCAUCUAGUGGUGGUGAAUUGCAGGCUUCUGCCGGUGCGUAUUUGUCAGGGAAGCCACCGGAGGGCGCUGUGGAAGUUGUGCUUCGACUGUUCAGAAAUAUUGUUAAGGAGCCAGGUAAUGCAAAGUUUAGGAAGAUUAGAAUGGGGAAUCCGAAGAUUAGGGAGGCUGUUAGUGACGUUGCAGGAGGGGUUGAAUUGUUGGAGUGUGUUGGGCUUGAGUUGAAGGAGGAAGGUGGAGAAAUGUGGGCCGUUAUGGAAGUUCCAAAUGAGGAGAGAAUUAGAUCGAUUAAUGAGGUGGUUGGGUUAUUGGAACCUAGAAAGGUAGAGGAGCAGGUGCAGAAGGUAGAGGAUAAACCAUCUGUUGUUCCUGCUGGAACAGGGGAGCAGGUUGAGCCGAAGAAGAUUGACAGGCAGAUCCGGGUCUUCUUCUCUGUCCCUGAAAGUGUAGCAGCAAAAAUUGAGCUGCCAGAUUCAUUUUACAAUCUAUCUCCUGAAGAGCUGAAAAGAGAAGCCGAUGCAAGGAAGAAAAAAAUUGCAGAAUC
rnacentral:misc_RNA from 1 species